rnacentral:rRNA from 1 species
AUGGCCAUUCUCACUGCAUUCCUGACAUUCCGUCGAUUCUGUCAAACAGAUGGCGGUAACUUCAACAUAGUAGAUGUCGGUGUCACGUAUGUUUUGUUGGUAGGCGCCGUUGUCCUGGAGAUCACAUCAAUGUUGAGAGCCAUGUACUCGGAAUGGGCACAAGCCGACAUGUCCAGAUGGGAAACUCAUCUAGAUGGUCGCGAUCCUAAACCUGUAGUUAUGUUGUUGUUGUUGUUUGGUCUUCAGCUUGUGCUUUGCUUGCCCAGCUAUCUUGUGAGAUGUGCAAUGUUGAAGGCAGGACUGCCAGCAAGGUAUUGGUCAGGCUCCAUGGGACAACACAAUUUUAUCCACAUGUGCACUCAGAGCAGGGACAGUCGGAGCAGCAGAGUUGCGAGAUGGAUGGGACGUGAGGACUGGUGGAACACACUGGUCUACACGUCGACCAUCCCAGUCCCGGCAGAUUUGAGCCAAUUACUAGAGAAACAACUGUUGCCCAUGCAUAUUCGCUACCAGACCUCUGGCCGAGAUGACAUCAAUAACUCAAGGGGCCGGGUGGCCCUGAAAAGGAUGGGAGUAUCGCAAGAGGAACUGGCCUGCUGGAGCGUGGACAUCGAACUGGAUGAGAGCAUCCUCGUGUGGCACAUUGCCACUCAUGUCUACCUCAGCUGGUACAAUGCGACAAACUCACACCCUCCGGCUCUGGCUUCAACAAUCGAGGUGCUCUCCAACUACAUGAUUUUCCUGCUUGCGGCACGUCCCUACAUGCUGCCCGACAAUAUUUGUCGCCAGAGCUAUGUGGAGUUGUGCAACAAGGUGAUCAAUCAGCUCGAAUACAGCUCGGCCGAUGAUCUGGUUAGCUUAAUACGGCAGCAAGGGGAAGCACUAAAGACCAUCGGCCCUUGUGAGAGCCCUCCUGAGAUUGCUAAUACAGAGGAAGAGAAUUCAACAUUUGACAGAGUAUGUCAGCUUAGUUCAAAACUGAUCCGCAAAUCUGUUGCAGGUGCUGACAUGCUGGACCUCAUCUGGCAAGUAGUCUUCACCGCAGAACUACAGCAAUUACGCUGCAACCACUACAGGAAAUGCAUUGAAAGCAAACUACUCAAUAUACUCGGCGGGCAAAGCUCGCGCGGUGCCGGCGGCGGCGGGAUCUCGUUUCCUCGCCUGGAACAGGGGCCGCGGGGGGCUGCUUCUUCGGGCGUGGCGGCGGAGCUCGGCGGCCGGCGCGUCGGGUGGCGCGCGCUAGUGUGCGGGGCGGCGCGACCUGCUGGCCGGGGCGGCACGUCACUGGAGCGCGCAGGCCGGUGGCGGCGUGGCGUUCUUCGCGGCGGAUCUGAGGCGGCGGCCUCGCUGGUGCGGGCGGCGCUCCUCCGGCGGCAGGGAGUGCUCGUCGAUGAGGUAGGCCGGAUCCCCUCGGCUACGCGGGCAGCGAGGUCCCGGUGGGCACUAGUCAUGGCGCGGGGAGGCCCCGGGCUCCCCUCGUCAGAUCGGAGGCGAUCUGGUGCGCUCGUGAUGUAUGACCUCCGGCCGGCCUGGAUUUUCGGCGUGCACGCGCCUGCUGACGUUGUGGCUGGUUCGGAGGUGGCGGCAGGUUUGUCUACAAGCCGAGUGUCAAAUAGGGAUGCUUGGCAGCAUAAAGCAUUUUGGACGACCAGACUGUGUUGUCGGUGUUGCCAUGUGGCACCUGCACAUAAGCUGAGUGGUUUUCUUAAACACUCGGCUUAUAGGAAGCCGAGUGCCACAUGUCACACCGGUAAGCCGAUUACUCACCAGCAGCACACGCAGCUUCCUGCAGCACCUUUACCAGAACAUCGGCCCUCCUGA